rnacentral:lncRNA from 1 species
CUUCCGGUUACUGACUCUGUGGCUGCUGCCUCCCACAACGCUGUGCUUGCAGACCCCAGGAGCGCUGGCUGUCCCUUCACUUCCUGAACAUGUGGAUGUGUGCUUUGGGUUCUUGACCUCAGCUCUUCCCAAGGUCUUCUUAGAGAAGGGUCUAAAUGAAGUCAUUUUUAGAGUAUUUGUUUUUGGUUACACAGGUGCUUCCGCCCAUGUGGCCUCGGAGUGGGACCCUGCGGGUCAUCAAUCUGUACAUUGCCUGAGAGCAGCCGUGUAUGCUCUGGAAGGGACAAGACCAGGUACCUGUCGGGGGAUGCGGCCGUGGUACCAGGCAUGGCUGCGCAGGUCCUCGCUGCUCAGGAGCAGCUCCUCCUCCAGCUCCUUCUUCAGUUUCUCGGGGGUCCUGUCCAUGAUGUGCCUCUCCUUGGAGAACUGCAACACAGAGUCAACCAUGAGCUCACCCUGCCCAGGCCACACCAGGCCAUGCCAGCUGGAGGUGACCGCCUGCUUCACUAAUCCAACCAGUUAUGCUACAGCCUGCAUUCAGGGAGAUGUGGCCACAGGACUCAGUUCUGACCAAGGAGCUGAGAUGUGAUGGCUGGAGACUCAACACCAUUCUGGACGCCAAAAAGAGCUGGCCUUGGCUGGAAGGUUCUGGCUAGGAGGAGAGGGCUAAAGCAUGCGAAGGCACAACAAUGAUGGAACUGAGCGAAGAAGAUACUCUAUCCCACUUCAGUGAAAACAUCAUGAGGCUUGAAGCAUGGAAGUUGCCUCACCCCCGUGUUUCCUGCCAGGUGGAACAAAGUGCUGAGAGAAUCAAACCAGCAAGCAAAGAGAAGAGGAGCAAGAGAUGGAAAGUGACCUCUAGCAUGCACAUCCCUAAGCCCCAGCUGAUUAUAUCAGCCGGCAAACUCCUCUUGUGACCUAGGCUAGUAUGAGUGGAAUCCCUGUCACUUGUGACCAAAGCAGUCCUGACCCAGAAACGCAGGGACUGGCUGAGGGCAGCCCAACAUUGGUGGCUGAGGGUUUAGACCAUCACACUCCAGAAAGUCAGAGUCACGGAAAAUCUUUGCCCAGGAAGGCAACAGGUAUAUAAAAAGAUACUUUUAGAGAGAUCUGGCUGCAGUGAGAGCAAUGGGCUGGAUGGGGCCAGGGCUGGAGGCACAGGUCAGAGUCUUUUGAAAUGUGCUGACAACGCCCAGAUCUCCAUCUCCAGCCCUUAGGGUCGGUGCCUGGUAGGGAUAUUUACUGGAAUCCGCAUUAAAGCUCAGAUGUCAAUAUGGAUAAAUUGAACUCAUCCCCUCUGCAAAGCCUGAUCUUCGCCCUUUUCCCCAGUCACUGGCAUCUCUUCUGUCCUCAUUACCUGAACUAGAACCCUCAGAAUCGGCUUCCAUUGGUUAAGACAUUCCUGAUUCUUUUACCUAUCCCCAUUCGAAUCCCCACUGUUUAGAUUACUGUUCUUUUCUCCUAGAACUUCUGCAAUAGCCUCCUAACAGUUUCCCUACCUCCCAUUUCUAGUCCCACAACCUGCCACCUACAAUACCACCAACCUUGUCAUAUUGCCCCUAGGUUCAGAGAUUUUAGUCCAAGGGUGCUCCAGCUAAGGCCGACAUGACAGCCACAGUCUCUUUCAACUCCUCUCCCACCACACACACAUAUACACAGAAUCAACGAGCUUCUAAUAUUUAGUUUUCAUUCAUGCCAGGGUUCGGGCCUGGUCCCUGGGGGCGCAGACCCCAGUCCUGCCCUGUUCCUCCAGAAUCCUGAGCUUUAAGCACCAUUUCCUGUUGCCCCAGGGAGCUGACCCAUGGCCCCUGACAUAUACUGAACUUGCAGACACACUGGGAUUUGGCUCUGAAUUUGCUAGGAGGCCCAGAUCAUGAGAGGGCUGUGGAUGCAAACAGGAAGCGUCCCUGUGGGCCCCCAGAAAUAACUGUCAGAGGCAUGACUGGCAGGGGAGAUGGGCAAGGGUCCUGCCAUUAUGAAGUGGGUUCCAAGAGUCAGCAGAGUUGAGGCAUUAAAGUUUUCAGGACAUUAUUUGGGGCUGUUGGCUGCCAAGGCCUGAGGAAAUAUUGGUUAUGCUUCCAAGGGCUCACAGUGACCUCCAGAUAAAGCCCAAAGCCUCCUUCAUAAGUCAAGUAAUGCCUUUUUCCACCUGGCCACAAGCUAACUUGCUAACAUGUUCUGACGCAGGGUCCAAUUGCAGGAACCUUCCAUGGCUCCCUGAACAAAACAUCCCUCAUGUCCUGCCUCCAUGCCUUUGUCUUGUGGUCCAGCAGACAGUGACACAUCUGUAGAGGUACACGGCCUGGCAGGAGUCCAGGAUGGGAACUGGGGAACAGCCAGGGGAAAGUCAGACAAGGUAGGUGGGGACCUUGAAGGCCAAGCAGAGACCAUGCCUUAUUUACCUUUGGCUCCCAGAGCCUGGCCCAGUGCCUGGCACACAGCGAGUGCCCAGUAGACAGUGACUGGCUGGAACCAUGCUCACUUGCUUGCCCUCUGUCUAGCAGGUUCCUUGUCACAUUGGGUGUGGAGGAGAGGAGAGAGCUUGGAGGCUGGUCAAGAACAAGUGACCUUGGGCCAUCUCUACACUUCUGAGCUUGUUUCUCUAUGCAUAAGGAGUGGGGAUAAUAACUCCCACCUUACAGGACUAUAGGACCUGAUGCAGGUAAAGCAUCUGGCACUAUACCUGGCACAUGGAUGCUCGCUUGACACAAUGUGGAAUUUGAACCCUCUUUCAAAGACGGCUUUUAGCAACAAAAUGGAACUACUUCACUAAAGAAGUAAAGAAAAAAAAUUACAAAAUCCAUCAGAGGUUUUAGAGAUAUCUGGCCCUCGAUAAUUUAGUUCUAAUGGAAUAAAAAAGCUAGAAGUUGGAAAACUGAUCUCUACUUAGGCACAGGUUUGUUUAUUCGUUUAUUUCAGUGCAAAGUCAACAGUUCCUGGGAUUUUGAGUAGCACUCAAUGGUUCUAUAGAUGCAGGGUGAGUAAGCAGGCAUACUGUCGCUUGGUGGCAAGCACUUUGUAUGCAUAUAUCUCACUAUUAACAAGUAUAUGUAUUAGCGCCAGGUGGCUCACAUAUCCACAAAUACACAGGUGACACAGCCCAGCAUGCGAGUGCAAGACAGUUUUGUGUUUGCACAAGACUAAGAGGUCCUUGUAUGUAGAUUCUGUCUUCUUGGACACUUAGUUGUUGAGAAAUUUUUUGUUGAAUUUUAAAAACUGAGAUGAUUUUCUAGUCAUUCAUUUAUUCCAUGAUCAAGCCUGGCAAUUAACUUGGUUGAAUAAAGAAAAAGAAGAAGGAGGGAAUGUGUGCAUAAAAAGAGGAGGUGGGGAGGAGAAGGGAGAGGAGGCUGGAGAAGGAGCAAGCUAGCAAGCUGCUGGGCUAUUCUAUCCUAGUUGGGAGUGUCAGGCUCCAACACCCGGAAUGCUAUCAGGGUUCUCAAACAAAAGCCUCCUUUCUUCAGUUUUGGAACAGUUUAUUAGCUUGAGGGAGAAGUCCACAACAGUCCAGGCCUCUUAUCAAAUUGUAUCAAACAACUCCACAGGUUGGGAUUUUCUAGAAAUCCUAUCCAGAAAUUUUGAUUACAAAUAAAAUUAUAAGUCUGACUGGAGUUCUGGAUCUUCGAUGUUAACAUUGGUCUAAUUUCUUUUUCAUUUUUUUUUUUGAGACAGGGUCUUGCUCUGUCUCCCAGGCUGGAGUGCAGUGGCGCAUUCAUAGCUCAAGUGAUCCUCCCGCCUCAGCCUCCCAGGUAGCCAGGACUACAGGUCUGCACCACCACACCCGGCCAUUGGUCUAAUUUCUAAGCAAGGCCAGUGUCUUCCAAUGAGCUCAGGGUGGGAAACCCCACGGGGGUUGGGCUGUGAACUGUACCAGGUGGCCCAAGCUGGGGGUCCAAAAAGACAGAUCCACAUCUCAAAUCCACUGAACUCUGGGAAUCCCUGUGAUGACCUGAGACCUGCAUCAUCACUGCCCCCAAUAAUGUUGUAAACAUGUAAAGAAACUGAAUCCCCAAAAAGCACACUUUCAAAAGCACUACACAAAGCAGUCUGAACCCUUCCUCUGAAGAAGGCUGCUACAUCUGGCAUCGUCUUACAAGUAAAUCCAACCCGAAAUGAAGUUCUUUGGAGAAUUCAGAAACUCAGCCCUUUUGAACCCCUGCCUUGCGUUGAAUUUCAAGCCAAGUUUACAACCAAAUUCUGAAGUAUAUAAAGGACUUUUAAAGACCCAAUUGGUAUUUUUACAAUUGAAAACCUGCAUAAAUUGAUCAUGAACCCAAAGAAUGAAUAAACCCCAAUUACUUUCAUCACUCUAAACCCUGCCCGAAGCUGAAAAUAAAAAUCCAGUUCUCCACAAGUUUGAAGACCAGUUACUUCUAGUACGAGCCCUUGGGUGUUUUCAUCUAAAGUAGAACAGAAAGAACAGGAAUGGCACUUGUGGCGAUCCUAAAGCCUUGCAAUGAAAUAAUUAGUAGAUUGGUUCUGUUUCACCUUUUACUGACACUUGCUGGUUUUGUGGCUUACUUAAAAAUAGUUUAUUUUAUUAUAAUCCAAAGAUAAAUGAAGAAAGGUUUGAAUUCACCAAUCCUACUUUUCCCACUGGGAUGCUAGGCUAGAAAAAUAGUUUCUUAUGCUAAUAACUGUGAUUAAAGCCAAAGCAUUUACUUAAAUAAUUAACUUUACAAAUAAAAAAGUUCAAAGAGAAAAAAAUUCAUAUUUUAUAUCCCUGUUGGGUAAACAAAACCAAAUGUGAACGUGGGCAAUUGGGCAUCUUUGCCUGACCCAGCCCAGUGGGCACAUGGUGGCCUGGCCAGCGGUCCAGGACGUUGCCAGAACCAUAGCUAAGGAGGUGCCACUUGUACACAGCUGUCAUGGAUCUAUAUAUUGAUUACAACAGCUGCCCAACAUAUGACAAUAAAGUGUCCUGAGGAAAGGGUGUCUUACUCUUAUUCACUCAAGAGGCACUCUACAGGCCAGCAGGGAGGGUCCCUGAGUGUGUCCCUGAGACUUCUCUGCCUUUUAGGUGUUGGACCCUUGGCAGAUGAGGACCUCUGGCCUCACUGGGCCCCUUGCUAUGAGCCAGCUCCUUCAAAUUCUCUCAUUAAAGCUCAGUGAAGCAGCCUUUGCAGAGAGCUUCCUAAUCCAUGCACACUUCACCCUUUUGGCUAAAGUUCUGCAGAAAUAGUCAGGGGCUCCAUUUUCAAUCAAGAGUUUGAUAGUCACUGGAACACCGUGCCUUAAAUGAAACCCAAGGACUUACUGCAUGCCUGCCGUGCUACUCUGCCUCUCUGGCUAGAUCUGAGGCAGCCGCAGCUGUGAUGGAAGGAGGACUCCAUGCCCUGCAGCAGUCACAGCCUUUUUGAGGAGACAAAGCAUUUGAAGAGAAUGUGCAGCAAUAAACAUCUAUCUUAUCUGGGGUCAGUGAGGGUUUCUGGUCCCUUCUGACAAAGAAAUUGGCAGCAGAGAUUCCAUAAAAAUUUCAAUAAGUUUUAGCAUUCUGAAACACUUCAAUUAGUUUGAUGUUAACGUUUAAGCACCUUGAUGAAAUAAAUUUAUCUCUUCCAAAUCCUAGAAAGAAUCUCCCUUUCGGCAAAGAUUCUGCAGAUGGGUUUUGAUGCCAUUUUUCCAUUUUGUAGUUAGAUCUCUAUCAUUUAUCACACUGUAGACCAAAUGGUCGUUUUAGUGCCAUUAAAAACUGAUUUGCAAUUUGCUGUUAAAUUAAGAUGUUUCAUUUUCCUACUGUAUAUGAUUUUCCUUUUCACAGAUGAGUGAGGAUACAAGGGGCAAUCAGACCCUAGUGCAGACAAGAAAAUACCAUCAAAACCCCUAGAGAUCCCAAAUCUAAGAGAUUUCCUUUUAUUCAUUAUCAAACCUAAUCAAUCUCUUAUCAAAAGAGGCUCAGAAAUCAUGUAUAGUAAAUAUGAAGAGGAUAUCUGUAGAACCCCUUGCUUAUCAAAGUUCUGAGAAAUUCCCAUUAAAUUUCUGUUAUCCAUGUGUGCAAACUAAAAAGACUAAUUUAAUUUUAAUUUGUGCAGACUGAAGUCUUAGAGCAGAGCACUCUGUAAGCAGGCAGCAGUAACUUAAUCCUACAUGACAAACUAAUUACAUUAGAAUCAUUGUGAUAGGUGCCCAUGCCUUCUUUGAUGUUAAACCCCUGUUACCUUUGAUCCACAGUCAUUCUCUGGGCAAGGUCUCUUGCACACAUUCCCAUCCUGCCAGAUCAUGAAGCUGUUGCUUUUGAAGCUCAGUUUUAUUUUGAUAGAACACCAAGGGACUGAAAAUUAUUUCUCACUGAUUUUGUUCUGAAAACUUCGGGUAGAAUUCUAAGCUUGACAGAAUGUAGCACAUACAACGCCAACAAAUGUGGCUUCUUUUCUUCACUAAGAUCACCCACUCACUGGUGAAACUGCUCAAUGUACUCAUUGCACUGUAACGUCUCUCUCCAUCCCUUCUUGACCCCAGUGAGUUUGCCCAUCAUGUUUCUUACCCCUUGAUAAACAUCAUUUACCUACAGCCUCACUCAAAGCUCAGCUCCAAGGGGGUCUCACCUUUUCGUUAAUAGAUAAACCGAAACACGAUGAGAUUUCCAACAGGCCAUUUGUUAACAUCUUGCCACGCUGAAAGCCCUGGCGGGUACCUUCCGUCUAGAUCAAAUUUAGAUGAUGACUUCCUGGAGCAGCCCACAGAGGACCAGACAUCCAAAUCACCCCAAGAGGCAGGCCUGUAUUCUCAUUCCUCCUAGAGAGAAGUCGGAUGUGCCACACUUCAGAGGAAGGCCGAAGGUCAAUGGGUGCACUUAAUCAUUAUUGGACUAGAGAAAUGAAGGGCUUUGAUAAAAGCUAAACACCAGUCCAACCUACUGUGAAAACCCUGUCUAAACUACUUUGCUCCCUUUAACCAUGUCCUCGAGCGACUUUGAAUAAUAUCUCUCUUGCUUUCACAGGGCUGGCACUUGGGUUAAAAGAAACAAUGCAAGUGAAAUAUUAAUCGCUGAGUUCAGCAGCAAGAUUACACUCAGUAAUAGUAGUGCUUUCUUAACAUCUUUAAAGAAUGAAAAGAACAAAGACUGCCCUGGCUAAGGCAGACCCUAAUAAAAGAGUUUGAAAACCGGCUGAUCAGAGUUCAAAAUGCUAGAAGAUCCAAGCCAGAAAUCCUCACCACUGGUAAUUCAAUCUUGUUAAUUCAACAUCUUAAUGCAAAUUAUGAAUGAUCUGGAACACAGCUAUUCAUCAAACCAGAUGUCCUAUUUGCUCUUCAAUAAGAAUGUCAGCAAAUCAAAAUCAACUUAAUUCAAAUACUCUCAUUUCCUAAUUCACCUUGAAUGAAUGAGAUGAAUUAGGAAAAGGAGAGUACUGAAUGAACAAAAUGCACCGUAGUUGAAAGACACCCAAAGAUGUAAUUGGAAGGAAAAACAAGAUAUGCCAAACACAUGGAGGAAAAGCCAAAGAUUCAGACAGCCUUCCAGCGUGGGGUGUAGAACAAAUGACUUUCAAAUUCUCUCUCUCCAAAAUAGUACCAUGACUAACUACCAUCUUAGAACUCUGCUCUGGGACAAAGCGCAUCACAUGUCAGUGCUAAGUACGCAGCAGGCUUGCAGUAAAACAAAAUGAUUCAUCACAAGAUGGGUUUUGGCCAGACAUCAACUGCACCACUUUCAAUAUACAACUCACAGGUCACUUUAAAGUUCCUCCUCUAGCUCACCAGGGACCUGGGGGCGGGCCUGCCAGCGGCCACUCCCUGUGCUCCCCUUCCAGGCUGAUGCCUCCCUGCCUGCCCACACCGGGGUACUCCACGUCUCUACACUUUGUGCGUGCUCCUCUCUCCACGAAGAAGGCCAAUUCUCCUCCUUCUCUGGAUAACUUCGACUAAUUCACCAGACUCAGCAAAGGCUCUGCCUCCCUGCAGGAGGCCAUCCCUGAUCCUCGCCACUCCUGCCCCAUCUAUGCCAGGCAUGUGCCUCCAGGGAGCCACAGCACCCUCUAAAGAGAGCAACACCAAAUCAGUGAUAACCGAUCGUUUCCUUCAACCAGAGUUAAAUGUCUGCAGAAUGCCCACCAGGCAUGGUAUUACAGCAGAGAUCCCCACUGGACCAACAACUCCCACUGGGUCCCCAGCACCGACACAUCCGAGGUACCACAACCGGUGACUGCUGAGCUGAACUAAGGAUGCAAUGGGAUGAAAGCCAAUGGGGAAAUGUGCCUCAAAUACUUAUUAACCCCUGGUACAGGAGGCCUGGCUGCUGGGAUUAUUCCUAGAUCCUCUGUGACUUCUCUGACCAUGUCACACACUAACCUUCCCAGUGAACCUUCUGCUCUGAGCAGGCCUGGCCUUCUGCACUCCUGCAAAUGCCAGUGGCUUUUCUAUCUCUGAGCUACUGGGUCUGCUGCUCCCCCAGGCUGAAAUGCCGUCCCUAUGCCAUUCUUUUCUUUGUCCAUCCAAAUCCCCAGUUAUUAAAAAAAGGAGAAAAAUUUAAAAGGGGUUACCUGUUCUUAAAAACAAACAAACAACAACAUCAAAAACAAAAACAGUCCCACAUCCUCCCUGAAGCUUUCCUAAAAACUAAGGCUCACACUGUUCUCUCCCAACUGAACUGCAAAAUAAAGUAUUAACAUACACAAUAUCAUCUUAUUUUAGGCGUCAAUUGUCUUAAUAUAGUACAGUAGAAAGAACGCUAGCAGCCAGGCAUGGUGGCUCACACCUGUAAUCCCAGCACUUUGGGAGGCCGAGGUGGGCAGAUCACCUGAGGUCAUGAGUUCAAGAUCAGCACGGCCAACAUGGUGAAACCCUGUCUCUACUAAAAAUACCAAAAAUUAGCCAGGUGUGGUGGUGGGUGCCUGUAAUCCCAGCUACUCAGGAGGCUGAGACAGGAGAAGGCGGAGGUUGUAGUGAGCCGAGAUCACGCCAUUGCACUCCAGCCUGGGCAACUACGUCUCAAAAAAAAAAAAGAAAGAGCACUAGGCUUCAGCCCAGAAAAUCUGCUUUCUAUUCCUAGUUCCCCACGAAAUGAUUCUGGGCGGGCUGUUUCUCUGAGCCUUGGUGUGUCCUCUGCGGAAAGGGUAAAUUAUUGCCCUGCUCACCUCACAGAGCUUAUUUUCAGACUCCAGUGAGACAAAGUUGUUGAAGUCUUCAUAGCAUAGAGAGCUUGUUUUGAGACUCCAAUGAGACAAGAUGUGAAAGAACUCAUACAUUUGAAAGUCUUUUGCAAAUGUAAUGAAGUGAUAUUAUGACCUAAUAAUAUCCUUGUGGUAAGUCUUUGAAGGCAGGAACCAUGCCUCAAAUCUCAUUUAUUGCCCCACACCUCCCACAAAUCCCUCCCCACCUAACAGAGGGCUUAUGCAUGGACUUUACAUUCAACACCCAUUCUACAUUCAACACGCAUGGACUUUAGAACUUGAAUAUGUCUGUUAAUGUUAUGAUCUGGAAUAUCUCCAUUACAAGUUUCUUUCCACUGGGCUUAAAUAAAACACUUUCGUCUUUUUUCCCCCAGAAAAAAGAUCCAGUAGUCUUUUAUGUAACGGCUGUCUACUGUGAACCCCUUCGGGAUAUUAAAGUCAUGACCCUCAACAUGGCUGGAACAUCUUGUAUUUGGCCCCAACUCUAUGAGGGCCAGCACAUCCCUGAUCCUUCUCUCCAUUUUCGGCCUCCCAUUUAAUUCCUUUCCAAGGUCUUUAUACACAAGUCCGUAUGAGGCCUCUAAAUACAUCCUAAAUUCUGUAAGACCGCUGCAAAUAAGAUCUUACUCUCUAAAAACACCUGUAUAAUCAUUCUCCUAUGUAAGGAGGGACCCUCUAUAUUUUUAGUUUUGUUCCCAU